GGUCGGAUGGUGUAGUUGGUUAUCACGUCAGUCUAACAUGUCUACGUACAUAGAAGUCCACUGAAGGUCGGGAGAUCGAGCCUCCCUCUGAUCA